rnacentral:tRNA from 1 species
GCGCCCUUAGCUCAGUUGGAUAGAGCAACGGCCUUCUAAGCCGUGGGUCGCAGGU